rnacentral:rRNA from 1 species
GAUGAACGCUAGCGGCAGGCUUAAUACAUGCAAGUUGAGAAGCAGCAUGAUAUACGCGAGUAUAUUGAUGGCGACCGGCGGACGGGUGAGUAAUAGGUAGGAGACCUACCUCAUACAGGGGGAUAGCAUAGAGAAAUCUGUGGUAAUACCCCAUGAGGUUAUAUGAAUAGAGGCAUAUAAUCAAAGCAUAAGCGAUUAUGCGGUAUGAGAGGGGCCUACUGACCAUUAGCUAGUUGGUGAGGUAAGGGCUCACCAAGGCGAAGAUGGUUAGGGGUUUUGAGAGAGAGACCCCCCACAUUGGAACUGAGAGACGGUCCAGACUCCUACGGGAGGCAGCAGUAGGGAAUAUUGGGCAAUGGGCGAAAGCCUGACCCAGCCAUGCCGCGUGAAGGAAGACGGCCUUAUGGGUUGUAAACUUCUUUACUACGCGAAUAGAGGUUAGUACGAGAUACUAAUAGGAAGGUAGUGUAGUAAAAGCACCGGCUAACUCCGUG